GGUUUCUGUGGUAUAUUCUGUCCUAUGUGUCUUGAGUGUGACAUCUCCAGGCAUUAUGGAGAGUGUCUUUGUUGGCCGCUGUUACCUGGGUCCACCUUUGCACUGAGAAUUGGCACCAGGGAGAGACAUAAAAUACAGGGCACACUGUGUGAAGACCGGCUGGUGGUGCACUGCUGCUGGCCUUUUUUCAUCCGCCAGGUGGCCCAGGAACUCAAGAUGAGGACCUCCCAUGUCUACGAAAUCCGUGCAGUCCCAAAGGACACCCUGGUUUGACAGAGCAAGAUAACUCCUCCUCCUUAUGCCCCAGCACCCUCUUCUCAAGCCUCUCAGUAGAACAAUUGCUUUUUUGUAAGUUUUUAUUGAAAUGAUAUGAAAAUAAAUGAUUCCCCCCUA